rnacentral:lncRNA from 1 species
AUGGUAUUAUUUAUACAUGAGAACUCUAAUAACAAGGAAUUAAAAAAAAACCAAAGAGGAAGAAGUGGGGGAAAUGAGCAAAACCAAGCAACACAUCAGAAAAGAAAUUUGGAGCUUUAUGUGAGUCCCCCCACACCACCCCUCCCCGCCCUGCCUUUUAUACAGGAAGGGGGAUAUUUUCUGUCAACCUUAUGGUGGUCUUUAUCUAUGAAUAAAAAUGAAUGUGUGACCAGAAUUCCUACUCCAUAGUCAGCUUAGUCCAAGUCUAUCAUUCUAGAAUUAUCUGUUGAUUGAUUACAGAGAUUAGAAUCUCUCAAAUUUUGUACUUCUUUCAGACUGUCCUAAGAGGGCCGUGCAUGUGUGUGUGUGUGUGUGUGUGUGUGUGUGAAUUAGUAAGUCAGUAAACAUUUAUUAAGCACCUACUUUAUGCCAGGCACUGUGUUCAAUGCUAAGGAUAUGGAGAAAGGCAGGAGAAAAUCCUGACUUUCAAAGAACUCACAGUCCAUAGGGGAGGCAACAUACAACUAUGAAUAUGUGAGAUAUUUAUAGGAUAAAUUGGGAAGGAAGGACUAGAAGUAAGAGAAAUCAGGAGAGACUUCCUGUAUAAGUUUUGCAUGUUGCAUAUAUAUGUGCCACUACCAGUGUUUCUUGGUGCCUGUUUCCAUCACCCAUUUCCUCUUUUUCCCUUCUAGGGUCUCUGUGUCUCAGUAAUCCACAAAAGGGUAUUUUCUAGGGUCUGCUCAAAAGGAGAAAAAGAUUAAGAGUCGGAGAACUAGAACCUUGGUUCAAAUAUUGAUCAAUACUUUUGACCUAUGUGACCUUGAGCAGUCAGUCAUGUAAAGUACCUCCUAUGUGCCAGGCACUGUGUUCAACCCUAAUAAUACAAGGAAAGGCAGAAGACAAUUCCUGUCUUCAAGGAGCUCACAAUCUAGUUGAGGAGAUGAUAAGCAAAUAAAUAUAUACAAACAACCUUUCA